rnacentral:rRNA from 1 species
UACAGAGGUGGCAAGCGUUGUUCGGAAUUACUGGGCGUAAAGGGCGCGUAGGCGGUCUUCUAAGUCUUGUGUGAAAUCCCUCGGCUCAACUGAGGAACUGCACGGGAUACUGGAAGACUUGAGUUCGGGAGAGGGAAGCGGAAUUCCGGGUGUAGCGGUGAAAUGCGUAGAUAUCCGGAGGAGCACCGGUGGCGAAGGCGGCUUCCUGGACCGAUCACUGACGCUGAGGCGCGAAAGCUAGGGGAGCAAACGGG